rnacentral:piRNA from 1 species
UAAACACAAAAAUAAGUGUGCAUGCAUG